rnacentral:rRNA from 1 species
UACGUAGGGUGCGAGCGUUAAUCGGAAUUACUGGGCGUAAAGAGCGCGUAGGCGGCUCGUUAAGUGAGAAGUGAAAGCUCUGGGCUCAACCCAGAAACCGCUUUUCAUACUGGCAAGCUGGAGUGAUGCAGAGGUGGAUAGAAUUCCCGGUGUAGCGGUGAAAUGCGUUGAUAUCGGGAGGAAUACCCGUGGCGAAGGCGGUCCACUGGGCAUCAACUGACGCUGAGGCGCGAAAGCGUGGGUAGCAAACAGG